rnacentral:rRNA from 1 species
CCAGGUUGAUUCUGCCUGACGUGGAAGCUUGCCUCAGAGAUUAAUCCAUGCAAGUCAGUGAAGGUAACGGAACGGCGUACGGCUCAGUAUGACAAGGUAAUCUAACCAAUAAAGAGGAUAACCACGGUAAGCUGCGCAUAAUACUAAAUUGGGUGAGACCUUGGCCUAUCACCUGACGU